rnacentral:rRNA from 1 species
GACGAACGCUGGCGGCGUGCUUAACACAUGCAAGUCGAACGGAAAGGCCUUUUCGGAGGUACUCGAGUGGCGAACGGGUGAGUAACACGUGGGUGAUCUGCCCUGCACUCUGGGAUAAGCCUGGGAAACUGGGUCUAAUACCGGAUAGGACCGCACUUUAGUGUGUGUGGUGGAAAGUUUUUUCGGUGUAGGAUGAGCCCGCGGCCUAUCAGCUUGUUGGUGGGGUAAUGGCCUACCAAGGCGGCGACGGGUAGCCGGACUGAGAGGUUGGUCGGCCACAUUGGGACUGAGAUACGGCCCAGACUCCCACGGGAGGCAGCAGUGGGGAAUAUUGCACAAUGGGCGCAAGCCUGAUGCAGCGACGCCGCGUGGGGGAUGACGGCCUUCGGGUUGUAAACUCCUUUCGCCAGGGACGAAGCGUUUUGUGACGGUACCUGGAGAAGAAGCACCGGCUAACUACGUG